rnacentral:rRNA from 1 species
UACGUAGGGCGCAAGCGUUGUCCGGAAUUAUUGGGCGUAAAGAGCUCGUAGGCGGUUUGUCGCGUUCUGUCGUGAAAGCCCACGGACUUAACCCGUGGGUCUGCGGUGGAUACGGGCAGACUAGAGUGCGGUAGGGGAGAUUGGAAUUCCCGGUGUAGGCGGUGGAAUGCGCAGAGUAUCAUAAGGAAGACCAGUGGCGAAGGCGGGUCUCUGGACAGUUCCGUGACGCUGAGGCACGAAGGCCAGGGGAGCAAACGGG